UCCCCCCCAUCAGAAACUCUGCAGGAUUCUCCCUCCGCCUCGGUCCAGACUAGAGGAAUAUCUCCGGGUCCAGGGCGCCGGUCGUCCGGAGCCACGCAGCGUCCGAGGGGAUGGUGGCCGCGGCGCGCGUCCGCGCAACUCUUUCCGAGUGUUCGGCAUUUUACGCAGGCGAGCGUCUCGACUUGUGAUCGGGAGAGAAGGGGCCGUGGAGACGCGGACCGCAGCAGCCGGGCUCCCCCCUUUUCACAUGGAGAUUUUGCGGACUCGGUCGCACUGCAAAUCUUGAAGAAGAAGAAGAAGAAGAAGAAGAAAAAAAAAGCCGGGGGAACCGGGGCCCUGCCGAUUCCUCCCGCACGGCUCCCACAUGCCCCCGAUUCCAUUUAUUCGAAAAAAAAUGCGUCUGCGUUCCGAGCGGCAGCCGCCACAUCCGCGGACGACGGCGCAGCGGCCCGCGUGAGCCUGCCGACUCACAGCUCCCGAGCCCGUAGAGCUGCAGCGAUGAGGAGGACGAGCGGCACAACAGAAACAGCUUGUACUCGACGGAGGACGGUUAAUGACACCGCGACCGGGUGCGGACAUCAUUUGAAAUGAUUUUGACGACACAUUGCAACACUGGGGUUUCCCAUGCCUAGAGCGCAUUUUUUUCUUUACGUACAAUUGGGAUGGGAUACAAUUCUUUUUGUAACAAAACCCCCCGUUUUUAUCUGACAAAAGAAUUUGCUCAAAUGCAUUUACCCAAAUUAUCGCAAAAUUGGCAAGGUAAUGAUCUAAUUAGAUAAGAGAUUAGGGAAUCGCACCUCACAUUCGGUGCUCGCCUUCAAUUCCUUUUGUUUAAUUCGCCACUGAUUUUUCGGGAAACAGAGAAAGUGUUUACUUGGUAAACUUCCAAUUAACUGAUUCCAAUUAACUGAUAGUGUAAUUUAAAGUCUUUUAGCAGGCGAACAGCUGCCGAGGUGAACACGCAGAAAGUUUUACAAACAACCAAACCACCACGGAGUGAUUAUUUGAAUUUGUUUUCUUUUUAUCCGUGUUAUUUUCAACCUGGCACUAAAUAAAUUAGGUUUUCUUUUCCCCUUCCACACCUGGUGUCCCUGAGCCUUACUGCUUGGUCCUUGACAUACGUAGACAAUAUAUCAAUAUUCAUUUUUUGGGGGGGGGGCUUUAUUAAUUAGGCUUAGAGUUGUCGUCUUUUACUGCAACCAAAUUACUUUAUCUCCAGGAGAUAUUCAUAAAAUGGUGGACUGGCGAAAUAAAAUAGUAUUUGUGACCACUGCGUAAUUGGCAACCUGCAAAAGGAGAAGAAGGAAGAGGGAGAAAAUACGAAUCGUGAGCUGAAGUGCACGACAGAAGGCACAGUAGAAGCGUGCGGCUCUCAUCGGAUGCUGAUUGUAGGAUGUUUUUCAAAGUGCAGCGGGGCCCCGAUGUGAAAGGGCAGCUCUCACAGACCUCAGUGCUCUUCUGCUGCGCUGAGUGGCAGCCCUAUUAUCUGCCGCCGAGUUCACCCCUGCAUUGUGUUUUAUUCCCCCCCCCGAAUUUAUGUGGGAGUUGUUAAUUUAGGUAGGAGUUAUUAUGAAGUAAGCAGAUAAGUGGCGUUUUAGUAUCUUCACAUGAACCAAAUUAUAGCUGUAGGUGAUUGCUCUCUUUUUUUGGUAAAUGAAAAUGAAAAUGACGUCGUUGUUGUUGUUGUUUUUUGGAAUCUUUCUCGACACAACACAUCCGCAUUGUGAAAACCACAGACGUUGUAUGGUCUGUAGAUACAAAUUUAAAACCAUAGGGGCUGUGUAGUAACGCGUUCUUUCUCCUUUGUGCAGCUUUUGGGCGCAUUGCCGCCACUCUCAGGCAGCAGAAAUGCAUUACACAUUAGCAGUUAAAGGGGCAGUAAGAGAUUCUAAAGCGAUAACACUUUUUGUAAAAAUCUGCGUAGAUUUCCUCACCAUUCAUCAGCUGACGCUUUUGUGUGCGCGCCAGAAAAAAAAAAAAAAGAGCUUUUUUCCCCGUGGUUUUUAAAAAACCCGGUGCGGACCGCACCACACAACGAUGUGAGGGCCACUUGUGCACG
rnacentral:lncRNA from 1 species